GUAAACAAAAUUUUUUGCCGACUGUCAGGUGGCAAGAAGUCUUGGAGCACAGGAACAAGCAGUUUAAGCUCUUCUGAAGCGGCAAGGAGGUUUUUGCGGACCUGCACAAGUCAAGUCAAGUCAAGCACCAGCACAAGUCAGCUAAGCACCGACAACAUCCAUUUCCUCCCUCUCCUCGGCAAGGGUAUUCCCAGGAAGCUAUAUAAAGCGCCCCUCACCAAGGAGCUGGAGCCUUCCCCUUCGCCCUUAGUUAUGAGCUGCUUCUUGAGCUGACCACUCUUUAUGUAGCAAUGUAAUUAAACAUUUUGUUGUUCGUUA